rnacentral:rRNA from 1 species
UGGGGAAUAUUGGGCAAUGGGCGCAAGCCUGACCCAGCGACGCCGCGUGGGCGAUGAAGGCCUUCGGGUUGUAAAGCCCUGUCAUGUGGAAAGAAUAGUCCCGUGGUGAAUAUCCAUGGGAUUUGACGGUACCACAGGAGGAAGCACCGGCUAACUCCGUGCCAGCAGCCGCGGUAAUACGGAGGGUGCAAGCGUUGUGCGGAAUUAUUGGGCGUAAAGGGCGCGUAGGUGGUUGUGAAAGUCAGAUGUGAAAUACUUCGGCUCAA